rnacentral:rRNA from 1 species
GACGAACGCUGGCGGCGUGCCUAAUACAUGCAAGUAGAACGCUGAAGGAGGAGCUUGCUCUUCUGGAUGAGUUGCGAACGGGUGAGUAACGCGUAGGUAACCUGCCCUGUAGCGGGGGAUAACUAUUGGAAACGAUAGCUAAUACCGGAUAAGAGUAGAUGUUGCAUGACAUUUGUUUAAAAGGUGCAAUUGCAUCACUACCAGAUGGACCUGCGUUGUAUUUGCUAGUUGGUGGGGUAACGGCUCACCAAGGCGACGAUACAUAGCCGACCUGAGAGGGUGAUCGGCCACACUGGGACUGAGACACGGCCCAGACUCCUACGGGAGGCAGCAGUAGGGAAUCUUCGGCAAUGGACGGAAGUCUGACCGAGCAACGCCGCGUGAGUGAAGAAGGUUGUCGGAUCGUAAAGCUCUGUUGUAAGAGAAGAACGAGUGUGAGAGUGGAAAGUUCACACUGUGACGGUAUCUUACCAGAAAGGGACGGCUAACUACGUG